CAGCCGCCGCGGUAAUACGUAGGGUGCAAGCGUUAAUCGGAAUUACUGGGCGUAAAGCGUGCGCAGGCGGUUUUGUAAGACAGAGGUGAAAUCCCCGGGCUCAACCUGGGAACUGCCUUUGUGACUGCAAGGCUAGAGUACGGCAGAGGGGGAUGGAAUUCCGCGUGUAGCAGUGAAAUGCGUAGAUAUGCGGAGGAACACCGAUGGCGAAGGCAAUCCCCUGGGCCUGUACUGACGCUCAUGCACGAAAGCGUGGGGAGCAAACAGGAUUAGAUACCCGAGUAGUCCCUGUCUCUUAUAC
rnacentral:rRNA from 1 species